GGGGUGGUGGCGAAAUGGCAGACGCAGGGGACUUAAAAUCCCCCGGGGGAAACUCCGUGUGGGUUCGAAUCCCACCCGCCCUA
rnacentral:tRNA from 1 species